rnacentral:piRNA from 1 species
UGCUCUUAAGAGAGAUGAGCCUGGG